rnacentral:rRNA from 1 species
ACGUAGGUGGCAAGCGUUGUCCGGAUUUACUGGGUGUAAAGGGCGUGUAGGCGGGAGCGCAAGUCAGAUGUGAAAUGCAGGGGCUCAACCCCUGAGCUGCAUUUGAAACUGUGUUUCUUGAGUACUGGAGAGGUUGACGGAAUUCCUAGUGUAGCGGUGAAAUGCGUAGAUAUUAGGAGGAACACCAGUGGCGAAGGCGGUCAACUGGACAGCAACUGACGCUGAGGCGCGAAAGCGUGGGGAGCAAACAG